GGACUGCCUGAUGGAGGGGGAUAACUACUGGAAACGGUAGCUAAUACCGCAUAACGUCGCAAGACCAAAGAGGGGGACCUUCGGGCCUCUUGCCAUCGGAUGUGCCCAGAUGGGAUUAGCUUGUUGGUGGGGUAACGGCUCACCAAGGCGACGAUCCCUAGCUGGUCUGAGAGGAUGACCAGCCACACUGGAACUGAGACACGGUCCAGACUCCUACGGGAGGCAGCAGUGGGGAAUAUUGCACAAUGGGCGCAAGCCUGAUGCAGCCAUGCCGCGUGUAUGAAGAAGGCCUUCGGGUUGUAAAGUACUUUCAGCGGGGAGGAAGGGAGUAAAGUUAAUACCUUUGCUCAUUGACGUUACCCGCAGAAGAAGCACCGGCUAACUCCGUGCCAGCAGCCGCGGUAAUACGGAGGGUGCAAGCGUUAAUCGGAAUUACUGGGCGUAAAGCGCACGCAGGCGGUUUGUUAAGUCAGAUGUGAAAUCCC
rnacentral:rRNA from 1 species